UGACCUCCGGCGGGCCGGGGUCUGCCACGGAACUCGCGUCGAUCACGUUGAAGCGCGAGGCUUUCGAGAAGUGGCGGACCGGUUACUCGUCGGCCUUCGCGAUCAUCCUUUUCGUUUCGGUGUUCGGAUUGGCGAACAUCUAUGUGAAGGCGUUGAACCAUGUCAAGAAUCGCUGACUUGCGCCGCGCUUCACUGCAGCGCACAACCGCCGCACGGGGCUCGCCGGCCAAUGCGGGCGGGUCCAUCUCCUGCAUGGAGAGGUCGCCAUGAGCCAGGGCAUCAGCACCGCACGUUCGGUCGUCGAGCCGACUUCACGCACGCGACUGUUCGCGGGCUCCGUCGUCGUGCUCUACGCACUGAUCACGAUGAUCCCGCUGGUGUGGAUCAUCCUCACCGGCUUCAAGACGCCGCCGGAUUCGAUCAGCUAUCCGCCAAAGAUCCUGUUCACGCCGUCCCCACAGGGCUAUUGCAACCUGUUCACGACACGCUCGCGGCAGACGCCCGAAUACAUCGCCGCCCUGCCCGCUCCGACAGAGACCUGCGACAAGGUCGCGCGAGCCGACAACAUGGUGGUGGCCGGGCAAUCGAACUACAUCCCGCGCUUCAUCAACUCGCUGAUCAUCGCCUUCGGCUCGACGAUUCUCUCGGUGGGUUUUGGCGUGAUGGCGGCCUACGCGUUCUCGCGAUUCAAGGUGCCGCUGAAGGAUGACCUGCUGUUCUUCAUCUUGUCGACGCGCAUGAUGCCGCCCAUCGCGGUGGCGAUCCCGAUCUACCUGAUGUACCGCGAACUCGGCUUGUCGGACACACGGCUGGGAAUGAUCCUGCUGUACAGCGCGGUGAACGUGUCGCUGGCGGUGUGGUUGCUCAAGGGCUUCAUCGACGAGAUUCCGCGCGAAUACGAAGAGGCCGCGAUGGUCGAUGGCUACACGCGGCUGCAGGCCUUUCGCAAGGUCGUGCUGCCGCAGGCGACGACGGGCAUCGUCGCGACGUCGAUCUUUUGCCUGAUCUUCGCGUGGAACGAAUAUGCAUUCGCGGUGCUGCUGACUUCCGGCACGGCGCAGACGGCGCCACCGUUCAUUCCGAUCAUCAUUGGCGAAGGCGGGCAGGACUGGCCCGCAGUGGCGGCCGGCACGACGCUGUUCCUGAUCCCGAUCCUCGUGUUCACGAUCCUGCUGCGCAAGCAUCUGUUGCGCGGCAUCACCUUCGGCGCGGUGAGGAAAUGAGGCUCGCCCCCAGGCUCCGCGCCACUGCGCGGCGCUCCUCCAACCCCCUGCCGGGGACAGCAUUAGUCGCCCGGCAAAGCCGCUUCCGCGGUGCUUCUGGCAUGACACUUGGAGCGCAACCGAUAUGACAGAUUCGACGCCGUUGCAAACGCACCGCCGCUGGCCCCGCUGGCUACGGCGCGGCCCGAUGGAAAUCGUCGCGUGCAUUGUGAUCGCGACAGGGCUCGUGAUGAUGCUGCAGCCGCUGGCGAUGGUGCUGUUCACCUGGUCUUUCACGACGACGCUGUUCGGCACGCUGCUGUUCAUGGUCGUCU
rnacentral:misc_RNA from 1 species